AAACUUGGCCCUCCAGCUGUUUUGGGACUACAACUCCCAUCAUCUCUGGCUAACAGGACCAGUGGUCAGAGAUGAUGUGAGUUGUAGUCCCAAAACAGCUGGAGGGCCAAGUUU
rnacentral:miRNA from 1 species